UACGUAGGUGGCAAGCGUUGUCCGGAUUUACUGGGCGUAAAGGGCUUGUAGGCGGUUCGUUAAGUCUGGUGUGAAAUCUCCCGGCUCAACUGGGAGGGGUCAUCGGAUACUGGCGGACUUGAGGUAGGUAGAGGAAAGCAGAAUUCCUGGUGUAGCGGUGAAAUGCGUAGAUAUCAGGAGGAAUACCGGUGGCGAAGGCGGCUUCCUGGGCCUAUCCUGACGCUGAGACGCGAAAGCGUGGGGAGCGAACCGG
rnacentral:rRNA from 1 species